rnacentral:rRNA from 1 species
UACGUAGGGGGCAAGCGUUGUCCGGAAUUAUUGGGCGUAAAGAGCGUGUAGGCGGCCAGAUAAGUCCGCUGUGAAAUCUCGAGGCUCAACUUCGAGCUGUCGGUGGAAACUAUCUGGCUAGAGUCCGGAAGAGGAGAAUGGAAUUCCUGGUGUAGCGGUGAAAUGCGCAGAUAUCAGGAAGAACACCCGUGGCGAAGGCGGUUCUCUGGGACGGUACUGACGCUGAGACGCGGAAGCGUGGGGAGCGAACAGG